rnacentral:rRNA from 1 species
AUUGAACGCUGGCGGCAGGCCUAACACAUGCAAGUCGAACGAGUGGCGGACGGGUGAGUAAUGUCUGGGAAACUGCCCGAUGGAGGGGGAUAACUACUGGAAACGGUAGCUAAUACCGCAUACCAUCGGAUGUGCCCAGAUGGGAUUAGCUAGGAGGGGGGGUAACGGCUCACCUAGGCGACGAUCCCUAGCUGGUCUGAGAGGAUGACCAGCCACACUGGAACUGAGACAGGGUCCAGACGCCUACGGGAGGAAGCAGUGGGGAAGUUGGGACAAUGGGGGAAACCCUGAUCCAGCCAGCCGGCGUGUGGGAUGAAGGCCUUCGGGUUGUAAAGCACUUUUGGCAGGAAGGCGGUACCUGCAGAAUAAGCACCGGCUAACUACGUGCCAGCAGCCGCGGUAAUUC